AGCGAACGUUAGCGGCAGGCCUAACACAUGCAAGUCGCACGAGAAUCUGGCUUCGGCCAGUAGUAAAGUGGCGGACGGGUGAGUAACACGUGGAUAAUCUGCCCUUCGGCGGGGGACAACAGUCCGAAAGGAUUGCUAAUACCGCAUACGUCGGCGAGGUCUUCGGAUCUUGUCGGGAAAGAUGGCCUCUUCAUGAAAGCUAUCACCGAAGGAUGAGUCCGCGUCCCAUCAGCUAGUUGGCGGGGUAAUGGCCCACCAAGGCUUAGACGG
rnacentral:rRNA from 1 species